GAUGAACGCUAGCUACAGGCUUAACACAUGCAAGUCGAGGGACCGGCGCACGGGUGAGUAACACGUAUCCAACCUGCCCUUUACUCGGGGAUAGCCUUUCGAAAGCAAGAUUAAUACCCGAUAUAAAGGAUGGGGAUGCGUUCCAUUAGGUUGUUGGUGAGGUAACGGCUCACCAAGCCUUCGAUGGAUUGGGGUUCUGAGAGGAAAGGCACCCACAAUUGUAUCGAGCACACGGCCAAAAUCGUAACGGAGGACACAGCUGGGGAAAGUGGUGAAUGUGGGUUAGACUGAACCAGGCAAGGAGGGUUAAGGAUGAAGGAUUUGUGGGCGUAAAAUUUUUUUACAAAAGAAAUUGAAUUUUAUUAAUAAGGAGCGGCUUACUCCGUGCCAGCAGCCGCGGUAAUUC
rnacentral:rRNA from 1 species